rnacentral:piRNA from 1 species
UCCCCCUAGCACUGGGAUAAGCCAUCCAGG